rnacentral:rRNA from 1 species
ACCGGCGGCUCGAGUGGUGGCCACUAUUACUGGGCUUAAAGGGUUGGUGCCUGCUUGGUUAAGUCUUUGGGGAAUUCUUCCGGUUAAACCGGAAGGCGUUUCAGGGAUACUGGCAGGCUAGGGACCGGAAGAGGUGAGAGGUACUCCAGGGGUAGGAGUGAAAUCCUGUAAUCCUUGGGGGACCACCUGUGGCGAAGGCGUCUCACCAGGACGGCUCCGACAGUGAGGAACGAAAGCUGGGGGAGCAAACCG